rnacentral:rRNA from 1 species
UACGUAGGGUGCGAGCGUUAAUCGGAAUUACUGGGCGUAAAGGGUGCGUAGGCGGUUCGUUAAGUCUGUCGUGAAAUCCCCGGGCUCAACCUGGGAAUGGCGAUGGAUACUGGCGAGCUAGAGUGUGCCAGAGGAUGGUGGAAUUCCCGGUGUAGCGGUGAAAUGCGUAGAGAUCGGGAGGAACAUCAGUGGCGAAGGCGGCCAUCUGGGACAACACUGACGCUGAAGCACGAAAGCGUGGGGAGCAAACAGG